GACGGAAGGUGCAAGCGUUGCUCGGAAUCACUGGGCGUAAAGGGUGCGUAGGCGGCUGUGCAAGUCUGGCGUGAAAGCCCCGGGCUCAGCCCGGGAAGUGCGCUCGAAACUGCACGGCUCGAGCGCCGGAGGGGAGAGUGGAAUUCCUGGUGUAGCGGUGAAAUGCGUAGAUAUCAGGAGGAAUACCGGUGGCGAAAGCGACUCUCUGGACGGCAACUGACGCUGAGGCACGAAAGCGUGGGGAGCAAACGGG
rnacentral:rRNA from 1 species